AUCUCUUGGUUCCAGCAUCGAUGAAGAACGCAGCGAAAUGCGAUAAAUAAUGUGAAUUGCAGAAUUCAGUGAAUCAUCGAGUCUUUGAACGCACAUUGCGCCCCUCGGUAUUCCGGGGGGCAUGCCUGUUCGAGCGUCAUU
rnacentral:rRNA from 3 species